UACGGGGGGGCAAGCGUUGUUCGGAAUUACUGGGCGUAAAGGGCGCGUAGGCGGCCUGCUAAGUCGAACGUGAAAUCCCUGGGCUCAACCCAGGAACUGCGUCCGAUACUGGUUGGCUUGAAUCCGGGAGAGGGAUGUGGAAUUCCAGGUGUAGCGGUGAAAUGCGUAGAUAUCUGGAGGAACACCGGUGGCGAAGGCGACAUCCUGGACCGGUAUUGACGCUGAGGCGCGAAAGCCAGGGGAGCAACGGG
rnacentral:rRNA from 1 species